AGAUGUUCAAAUCAGCUGGGAACACAGGAGGCAAACAUAAGAUUCCUGGAGCUCCCUGUGGUUUUGGCUGGACUGGCAGAGUCUUCGACACAGGCAGAUUUUAUGUGAGUUUGCCCUGCUCCCUGUCUGUUCCCUGAGCCCACUCCGUACCACUGCUCAGAUCCAGGUUUUCUUCUCAGGUGACCCAGUGGAUGCUCUCUCCGCAUGGAACAAGGUUUAAAGCCUUGUGGUUUAGUGAUGAAUGGUCAUGUACGAGACAGGUUCCUGGCCAAGGCCUCCUGGGUGGUCAUGAAACCCAACCUGCAGACUGACUCAGUUGUCCCCAUCUUGGCUGACACCAGCAUGGGAUGUCCAUCACAGUUCAUAACUGGAGCUGGAGGCAAAGCUGAGCCUCAGACCUGGCUGCAAGGAGCCCACAUGUUGUUUACAGUCUGCAUGAGAUGGUCUUCUGUGAGUUUCCACAUCUUAGGUAUUCUUUUCUCUCUGAGUGUCAUCUUUUGUUUUAAAUCUUCUAUUUGAAGCAUUUUCUUUGGCUUUUUUUCCUGAUGAUUUCCAUCUAAGAAAUUGAUGUGUCAUUGUAUUUGGAGGAUCCUCUUCUCUAGGAAGUUGAAUAAACACUGCAGUGAGGAACA
ensembl:lncRNA